CGGGCAGGUGAGGUUCGUUAGCCGUGGUAGGCAAUUCACCUAGGAGAGCAAACUCCGAACAAUAAACCCGGGCAGGUUGGGCUCGUGAGCCGUCAUAGGUAAUACACCUAGGAGAGCAAACUCCGAACAAUAAACCCGGGCAGGUUGGGCUCGUGAGCCGUCAUAGGCAAUACACCUAGGAGAGCAAACUCCGAACAAUAAACCCGGGCAGGUUGGGCUCGUGAGCCGUCAUAGGUAAUACACCUAGGAGAGCAAACUCCAUACAUAAAACCCGGGCAGGUGGAGCUCGUCAGCCGUGGUAGGCAAUCUGCCUAGGAGAGCAAACUCCGAACAAUAAACCCGGGCAGGUGGAGCUCGUCAGCCGUGGUAGGCAGUCUGCCUAGGAGAGCAAACUCCGAACAAUAAACCCGGGCAGGUGGAGCUCGUCAGCCGUGGUAGGCAGUCUGCCUAGGAGAGCAAACUCCGAACAAUAAACCGGGGCAGGUGGAGCUCGUUAGAUGUCGUAGACAAUCCACGUGAUGGGAACACCAAAGAAAAGGAAAAUAAAAAGGAACACCAGAAAAAGGAAAAUAUAGUAACAAAACAUCAAGAAAAGAAAAGAAAAAACAUAGA